UCCGCUUCGACGCGAACGUAAACAAACGUAGCUUAGCAAGCUUAAGCAUUGUUGCAACGGCGGAAAUAUUGUACCGGUGUACAAUGUGUUUUUCUGCAGCCUAGAUCUCGAACGAUUUGAUAUCCGAUAACAGGUCAGAAUAAUUGUACGGCAUGCUUGGUAGAAUAACUGCUUCAUAUUUUAGCUGGCUAGCUUCCUUUCAAGCAAUGGUAACAGUUCCCUUGGCUAUUCUGUGUUCUAAUUGAAGCAUGAGCUGAUUUAGAAACGAAUUUAGAUUUAUAAAGUUAAUUUGAUUGGGGUUUAAUUUUGUUUUGUGAUCAGUAGACUCAGAAUUGGAGACAUUGCAGACGUUGUACAGGUGAAAAAUAGACUAGAGAUAGCUGGUUAACCAGGUGCAGGUUUUAAUGUACUGCUAGGUCCAUAUGUUUUUAAAACAUCUAACCGUCACACAGCUAGUAUUCACUUUCGGCUGAUUUAGUAGUUCACAUUUUAUUCAAGCAGGACCCGGCGUUUUGUGAGGAUUUUUACUGAAGAGAUAACAACUUGCAACCAUGUCUACUUCAAACUUCAAGAAUAAGUGUGUGACCCAAGUCAACUGUAUAUACUGUGAUAGUCUGCUGUGUAUGAGAGGGAUGAAAGCUGUUCUGUUAGCCGAUACGGAAACUGAGUUGUUCUCAACCGACAUACCCCCAAACAGGACAGUUGACUUCGUGGCAAGCUGCUAUUCCACUGAGAGCUGCAAAUGCAAAUUAAGGGACAUUGCCUGUUUGAAAUGUGGAAAUGUUGUGGGAUAUCACGUGGUGGCCCCAUGCAAGCCCUGCUUGCUCUCCUGCAACAAUGGUCACUUCUGGAUGUUCAACAGUGAGGCUGUGUCCACCAUCAAUAGACUGGAUGCAACAGGUUUGAGACACCUGUCCACAUUUGCUGCAAAACCACUGUCUGUUUAAGCAGAGGUGCUUAUGUUCAAACAGCUUUUCAGUCAGCUAGAGAGCGCAAUCCCAGAGGACUGGGUGCUCAAAUAUGCACUGAGAUUGAAAUAUAAACGCAAAACACUUUUAGAGAAUCGUUUAAAUGGAUAUUUCAACCAAAAAUGAGAAUUCUGUGAUCAUUUAAUCACUUUAAUUUAGUUUCAAACCCAUGUGAUUUUCUAUGUUUUUGCUUUUCACGUAAAUGUGUUAUAUCUUUUGAUGAUGCAUGGGUCGACUCACACUCACUAGAUGGUUCAGGUCAGGCAAGUGUGGAUUUUAAAUAAAGUAGUGGGCACAAGUUUUUAUACAGUAUUUAGAGUUUCCAGUAAUGAAAAACCUGUUUAUAUCAAAGAAUUUGCACAGGCAUGAAAUUUAGUAAUAUCUAAAAAAAAAAUCAUGGAAAAAGUAAUGAACAUUUCUCUGAUUACUCUAAAAUAUUUAAUUGAACUACUAGAAAAGAAUGGUUCUAAUGAUGUUCCCUUUCAUCUGUAAUUAAAAUCUAAUGAAGCUUAAUUGCACUUAAAGAGCAUAUAUUUGGGCAUACAGUACUGUGCAGUAGUUCUAAGCAGUUGUGAAAAAAUUUGUAUUGUGAGUGUGUGUGUAUAUAUAAAUAUAUCAUAUAUAAUAAGCCAUGAAUACUUUUUAACCAGUGUGAUACAUGUGAAGACAUCUUUUUUUUAAUCAACAUUUCUGUGAAAUUGUAUCUAAGUAUAACAUAUUUUACAAUUGAUAUUAAUAUCUAUUAUGAUAAUUACUAGUAAUUUGAAUGAAUUUCCAAUUACUCAUAGCUGCUCAGUACAGCUUGGUGGUCAAAUGUUCUGAAAUCAACGUAUUCUCAUUCUACUAAACCUUUAGGUCUUAGUACUUUUGAUUUAGUUUGUUAUGUUUGUUCCAUCUGUCAUGUCUCUUUUGUACAGGUAUGUGUGUGUGGCAGACAGGUUGUUCCAAACAUCUUUGAGAACUUGCCACAGAUCUAUGUAUUUAGGGUGUCUCAAUUGCUUCUGUCUCUUCAUGUAAUCCCAGACUGACUGGAUGUUGAGAUCCAGGCUCUGUAGGGGCCAUGCCAUCCGUUGCAGGACUCCUUGUUCCACUUCUAUUCGAUAUGCAAAAGGAAAUGUUUGGAAAUUUAAAAUGGGGCAGAAUCUGCUGUUGUGGGGAGAUCUACCAGAGCUGGAGGACAGUGAUGAUGAGAGCCUGGACAGUUUCUCAGAAGAAGAGUACCUCAGAUAAAACAGCAGAUGGCCAAAGGAAGUAGACUCUUGACAGUGGUGAACUUGUUGGCUUUCACUCUCACAGUUUUCCAUUUAAAGCACAUUGUCCAGUCUUUAGCUGACUGGGAAAAGACAAAAGAAAAAUGCCUGUGUUUACCAUCCCACCUUUAUUAAUUUGCAGUCUUAUGAUUUCCCUUCAAAAUUCAUAGUUAGCCAUCAUUUCAGCAUCGUUGCAGAUCAGUUUGUGUGAAAGAGUGCCACUACCAAAGAAGUAAACAAGUUUCCGUUGUCUUUGCUUUAAGGUUGCAGUAGCACAAAACAAGGCAAUAGGACUCUUAAUAUGUAUGAUGUUAUCCUGUGAUGUCUGUUUACAACUUUUAGUAACUGGAGGCUGCAAAUUAAGAUUAGCAUCAGUGUUACAUCAAUUUAAAUUCAGUUUUGUUAAUCCAGGUGUGCUUUGGUACAAAUGCAUUUUCCAAGGAAACCAAGUGGCUACUAGAUAGAUAUAUAGAUAUAGUUGAAGUCAGAAGUUUACAUACACUUAAGUUGAAGUCAUUAAAACUCAUUUUUUAACCACUCCACAGAUUUCAUAUUAGCAAACUAUAGUUUUGGCAAGUCGUUUAGGAAAUCUAUUUUGUGCAUGACACGAGUCAUUUUUCCAACAAUUGUUUACAGACAGAUUGUUUCACUUUUAAUUGACUAUAUCACAAUUCCAGUGUGUCAGAAGUUUACAUACACUAAGUUAACUGUGCCUUUAAGCAGCUUGGAAAAUUCCAGAAACUUAUGUCAAGCCUUUAGACAAUUAGCUUCUGAUUGGAGGUGUACUGAAUUGGAGGUGUACCUGUGGAUGUAUUUUAAGGCCUACCUUCAAACUCAGUGCCUCUUUGCUUGACAUCAUGUGAAAAUCAAAAUAAAUCAGCCAAGACCUCAGAAAAAAAAAUUUGUGGACCUCCACCAGUCUGGUUCAUUCUUAGGAGCAAUUUCCAAAUGCCUGAAGGUACCACGUUCAUCUGUACAAACAAUAGUAUGCUAGUAUAAACACUAUGGGACCACGCAGCGAUCAUACCGCUCAGAAGUGCAAAUCAAUCCCAGAACAACAGCAAAGGACCUUUGCUGGAGGAAACAGGUUGACAAGUAUCUAAAUCCACAGUAAAUUGAGUCCUAUAUCAACAUAACCUGAAAGGCUGCUCAGCAAGGAAGAAGCCACUGCUCCAAAACCACCAUAAAAAAGCCAGACUACAGUUUGCAAGUGCACAUGGGGACAAAAAUCUUACAUUUUGGAGAAAUGUCCUCUGGUCUGAUGAAACAAAAUUGAACUGUUUGGCCAUAAUGACCAUCCUUAUGUAUGGAGGAAAAAGGGUGAGGCUUGCAAGCCGAAGAACACCAUCCCAACCGUGAAGCAUGGGGUGGCAGCAUCAUGUUGUGGAGGUGCUUUGCUGCAGGAGGGACUGGUGCACUUCCCAAAAUAGAUGGCAUCAUGAGGAAGAACAUUUUUGUGGAUAUAUUGAAGCAACAUCUCAAGACAUCAACCAGGAAAUUAAAGCUUGGUCGCAAAUCGGUCAUCCAAAUGGACAAUGACCCAAGCAUACCUCCAAAGUUGUGGCAAAAUGGCUUAAUGACAACAAAGUCAAGGUAUUGGAGUGGCCAUCACAAAGCCCUGACCUCAGUCCGAUAGAAAAUUUGUGUGCAGAACUGAAAAAGUGUGUGCAAGCAAGGACGCCUACAAACCUGAAUCAGUUACACCAGUUCUGUCUGGAGGAAUGGGCCAAAAUUCCAGAAAAUUAUUUUGAGAAGCUUGUGGAAGGCUACCCAAACGUUUGACCCAAGUUAAACAAUUUAAAGGCAGUGCUAACAAAUACUAACAAAGUGUAUGUAAACUUCUGACCCACUGGGAAUGUGAUGAAAGAAAUAAAAGCUGAAUAUUUCAAAUUCUUCUGACCUAAGACAGGGAAUGUUUUCUUCGCUUAAAUGUCAGGAAUUGUGAAAAACUAUUUUAAAUGUAUUUGGCUACGGUGUAUGUAAACUUCUGACUUUAGAUAGAUAGAACACCAAUUCUGAAAAAGUUGGGAUGGUAUGAAAAAU